CCCUUAGAUGUUCUGGGCCGCACGCGUGCUACACUGAGUGGAUCAGCGGGUCAGGUUGCGCGAAAGUGUUUCCUAAUCUUUAAAUCCGCUCGUGAUGGGGAUUGACGGUUGCAAUUUUCCGUCAUGAACGAGGAAUACCUUGUAAGCGCGGGUCAUCAUCCCGCGCUGAAUACGUCCCUGCCCUUUGUACACACCGCCCGUCGCUCCUACCGAUUGAGUGGUCCGGUGAGGCUUUGGGAUCUGAGCAAAGAGAGCGUUUCGCUCGUUUUGCCCGGAAAACUCAGUCGAACCUUAUCAUUUAGAGGAAGGAGAAGUCGUAACA
rnacentral:rRNA from 1 species